rnacentral:miRNA from 1 species
UGUGUGUGUGUGUGUGUGUGUGUGUGUGUGUAUAUAUACACACACACAUACCCACAUUUACACACA